GGUGGCUCAGUGGUAGAGUACUUGCCUUGAAUGCAUGAGGCCCUGGGUUCAAUUCCUCAGCACCA
rfam:Dipodomys ordii contig_35752, whole genome shotgun sequence.